UUCCCCGUUUGAUGUUCUGAUGAAUGUUGUAGUAACGGUUCGCCAAAACCGUUUGAUUGCUUAGUUCUCAAUCAAUCUACCACAUAUUUUUCUAUUAGAACUGAUAGCGGGUUUUUCG
rnacentral:sRNA from 20 species